UGAAAGCCAAAGAUCAAGGAGCAAAAAAUUAAAAAAAUUGAGACUAACAUUAUUAAAAAUAAAGAGAUUUAUUAUAAUUUAAAAACGGUGCAGGAAGUGGAGCUGAGAAUAUACACUUCGGAGUUUAAUCUAUUUGUGACAAUUUAUUUCCACAAAUUAAAAGGAGCAUAGGAGGAUUUUACAUUCUGUGAGGUAUGUAAAAUGGUGAAAUGAUAGUUAAUUUAUGUAUAUUAAUAAAAUUAAAAAUAUAUGUCUUAAAAUGUUAA